AAGAAAGGGAUCCAAGAAAUCAGGGGUGUGGAGGCAGGAGGCCAGGGGCCUUCCUGGGACCCCUCAGGAGGUUCCCCUAGCACCACUCGCAGGCAGAACAGCCCAGCCUCACCCCGAGGGCUGCGGGAGGUGCUGCUAGAAAAUCACUUGGGGCUUCCUUUUGGCCUCCCAGUGAGUCAUGAGGGCUGCGGCACAGAGGGGCAGGGGGACAUCCAGGAGGGCUGGGUGCUCCUGCUGCUGUCCUGGGAGGGGGCACGUCAGUGUCCAGCGGGGCCGGGUGCAUCCAGUAAAGGAGUGCGUGCAGCGUGUGGCAUCUGAGCAAAGCUGGAGUCACACCGUGUGGCUGGGGACCGCAAACUCCUCACUCAGCUCCCCCCAGCCUCAAUGUUCCCGUCUGUGAAGUGGGGCACAGGAAACCCGCCCAUCCUGGGUCACAGGGUGCUGGAGGAGCAGACGGGAGUGGGUUGUGCCCUGCGAAACUCUGCACCUCGGGAGGUGGCACGUCUCUCCCGCAGCCUCACUGGGGUGUGUGUGGCCCAACCUGGGGAUCCCCGCCGGCUUCUCCACUCCCUUGGCUGCUUCCAGGCUCAGCAGAGGUGGUUUCUGUCCUUCGGUUUGGAUGAAGGUGGUUGGCUCAGCGGAGACCAUCUUUCUCUGAGUCCUCCGGAGGCUGAGAGCAAACGGCUGCACUAGGAACCCAGCAGUCAGACCGGCCCCCACCCUGGAGUGAACACAUCGCCACUGCCAGGCAUCGCAGGGAGGAUUACCCCAAUGGCACCUGGCUGGGCGACGAGAACAACCCCGAGAUGCGGGUGCACUGCGCCAUCAUCCCCUCCGACAUGCUGCACAUCAGCACCAACUGCCGCACGGCCGAGGAGAUGGUGCUCACGCUGCUGGACUACCUCUUCCACCGCGAGGUGCAGGCUGUGUCCAGCCUCUCGGGGCAGGGCAAGCACGGGAAGAAGCAGCUGGACCCGCUCACCAUCUAUGGCAUCCGGUGUCACCUUUUCUAUAAAUUUGGCAUCACAGAAUCUGACUGGUACCGAAUCAAGCAGAGCAUCGACUCCAAGUGCCGCACGGCGUGGCGGCGCAAGCAGUGGGGCCAGAGCCUGGUGGUCAAGAGCUUCUCGUGGAGAAUGCCCAACUCAUCCUCCUACUGCCCCUCAGAGCCGAUGAUGAGCACCCCACCUCCUGCCAGAGAGCUCCUGCAGCCACAGCUGCAGCCGCAGGCCCUGCACUACGCGCUGGCCAACGUGCAGCAGGUGCAGAUCCACCAGAUCGGAGAAGACGGACAGGUGCAAGUAGGACACCUCCACAUCGCCAAGGUGCCACAGGGGGAGCAAGUCCAGAUCACGCAGGACAGCGAGAGCCCGUGUUCUGGUACUACGUGAAGGAGGUCCUCAACAAGCACGAGCUGCAAGCGCUUCUACUCCCUGCGCCACAUCGCCUCAGACGUGGGCCGGGGCCGCACCUGGCUGCGCUGUGCCCUCAACGAACACUCCCUGGAGCGCUACCUGCACAUGCUCCUGGCCGACCGCUGCAGGCUCAGUACUUUUUAUGAAGACUGGUCUUUUGUGAUGGAUGAAGAGAGGUCCAGUAUGCUUCCUACCAUGGCAGCAGGUCCGAACUCCAUACUCUUUGCGAUUAACAUUGACAACAAGGAUUUGAACGGGCAGAGUAAGUUUGCUCCCACCGUUUCAGACCUCUUAAAGGAGUCAACGCAGAAUGUGACCUUGCUGAAGGAGUCCACGCAAGGAGUGAGCAGCGUGUUCAGGGAGAUCACAGCCUCCUCUGCCAUCUCCAUCCUCAUCAAACCUGAACAGGAGACCGACCCCUUGCCCGUCGUGUCCAGGAAUGUCAGUGCUGAUGCCAAAUGCAAAAAGGAGCGGAAGAAGAAAAAGCAAGUGACCAACAUUAUCUCAUUUGAUGAUGAGGAAGAUGAGCAGAACUCUGGGGACAUGUUUAAAAAGACACCUGGGGCAGGGGAGAGCUCAGAGGACAACUCCGACCACUCCUCUGUCAAUAUCAUGUCCGCCUUUGAAAGCCCCUUCGGGCCAAACUCCAAUGGAAGUCAGAGCAGCAACUCGUGGAAAAUUGAUUCCCUGUCUUUGAACAGGGAGUUUGGGUACCAGAAGCUUGAUGUGAAAAGCAUCGAUGAUGAAGAUGUGGAUGAAAACGAAGAUGACGUGUAUGGAAACUCAUCAGGACGGAAGCACAGGGGCCACUCAGAGUCGCCCGAGAAAAACGGAGCACACUCUGUCACCCAGGCUGGAGUGCAAUGGCACGAUCUCAGCUCACUACAACCUCUGCCUCCCGGGUUCAAGUGAUUCUACUGCCUCAGCCUCCCGUGUAGCUGGGAUUACAGGCGCGCACCAACACACCCGACUAAUUUUUGUAUUUUUAGUAAAGACAGGGUUUCACCAUGUUGGCCAGGCUGGUCUUGCACUCCUGACCUCACGUGAUCUGCCCCACCUUGGCCUCCCAAAGUGCUGGGAUUACAGGUGUGAACCACUGCGCCCAGCCCCAAGUGGCUUUUUCAAUUACAUGAGCCAACAUAUUCUCACAAGUCCAUUCGAGUUUGGUGUCUGUUACUUGCAAAUAAGGGAGUUCUGAUUGGUUCCCAGUGAAACCUCAUCUGUAAGACCUCUGAGCCACCAGUAUCCACGGGGCUUGUCCUAUAACAGCUCCUGUGCAAUCCAGUAACCUUGAACACUGGAAGCCACUGAGCCCUUCUGUGAGUAGAUGCACACCUCUGAGGCUAAGAUUACUGGUGUACUCAUUGGGACCAGUUUGGUCUCAGUGACUGAAAACUCAACCCAAACUUGUUCAUUUGGAAAGGAAAAGUCAACCAGGCACAGUGGCUCAUGCCUGUAGUUCCAGCACUUUGGGAGGCUGAGGUGGACAGAUCGCUUGAGCCCAGGGGUUCAAGACCAACCUGGGCAACAUAGCAAAACCCUGCCUCUACAAAAAAAAAAAAAAAUUCUUUUUUUUUCGAGACAGAGUCUCGCACUGUCGCCCAGGCUGGAGUGCAGUGGUGCAAUCUUGGCUCACUGCAAUCUCUGCCUCCCGGGCUCAAGCGAUUCUCCUGCCUCAGCCUCCCGAGUAGUUGGACUACAGGCGUGCACCAACAGGGCCAGCCAAUUUUUGUAUUUUUAGUAGAGACAGGGUUUCACAAUGUUGGCCAGGAUGGUCUCGAUUUCUUGACCUCGUGAUCUGCCUGCCUCGGCUUCCCAAAGUGCCGGGAUUACAGGCGUGAGCCACCGGUGCCUGGCCUCUACAAAAAAUAUUUUAAAUUAGCAGGCAUGAUGGUGCAUGCCUGUAGUCCCAAAUGGGCAAAGUUGUUCUCUGAUUGGCUGAGGUCUUUGUCACCUGCUCCACCCCUGAGCUGGAGCCCCACCCAAAGUAAUUGACUGAAAGGGGGUGUUCUCCAGUGGGAAAUUAGGUAAGGUUUACAUUAUUUGGCCCUAACUCUUCACCCUUCCCCCUACCCAUGCCCUUGGCCAUGUAAUUUUGCAGUGCCCUCCUGUCACAGGCAGGAUGACCUGAUGCCUCUUUUUUCUUUUUUGAGAUGGAGUCUCACUCUGUCGCCCAGGCUGGAGUGCAAUGGUGCAAUCUCAGCUCUCUGCAACCUCCACUUCCUGGGUUCAAGAGAUUCUCCUGCCUCAGCCUCCUAAGUAGCUGGGAUUACAGGCGCCUGCCACCACACCCAGCUAAUUUUUGCAUUUUUAGUAGAGAAAGGGUUUCGCCAUGUUGGCCAGGCUGGUCUUGAACUCCUGACUUCAGGUGAUCCUCCUCGCCUGCCUUGCCUCCCAAAGUGCUGGGAUUACAGGCAUAAGCCACCACGCCCGGCCCUGCCUCUUGAGCUGGGGAGUUCAAGACCAGCCUGGGCAACAUAAUGAGAUUUCAGCUCUAUUAAAAAUAAUAAUAAUUAAAAAAAAAAAGAAUGGCCCUACCUUUCACUGGCAGGGAAGGGUGGAGGGCCCUCCUGUCAUCUCCAAAUCAUAGUACUGUCCCCACCAGCCAUAGCUGAUCAUUUUAGGAGUGGUUCCAAGGAGUCCCAAGCUGGGCCCAUUACAGCCUCUCCUGGAGGGUUACAAUUGGAUGAGAAGCCAAUCGAUAUCCUCUAUAAUUAAAAAUAUAAGAACUUAGGAGUCAUGGGGCAGCUGUGUUUAGUUGAAAGCCUAGAGAAGCAGAGAGAGUCCAUGUGUUUGUUACUUACGGUAAUGCUGGCUGCUGGAACAGAUAAGCCCCGAAAUCUCUGUGGCUUAACAUCACAGAAGUUUAUUACCUGCUCAGAUAACAGUCUAAGGCAGAUGUGCCACAUGGCGAUUCAGGGACUGCUACCUUGUGGUUCUGCUGUCUCUCGGGGCCUCGGCUGGUAGAUAGCAAACAAUGCAGACAGGAGAAGACAGAUCCAUGAUCUUAACCAUCUCAGCCCCAGACAGGGGACCGCGUCAUUUCCACCCACCUUCCAUCAGCAAGAACCAGUCACAUGAGCACAUCUAACAGCAAUGAAGGCUGGGAAAUACAUGCCCAGGAAGGGAGGAAUCAGUUUCUUUGCAGAGGAGAGAGGGAACAGAAGAGAGGGAAAGGGGGAAAAUAGAGAGACGGAGGGAGAGAAAGAGAGAAGAACUAAUGAGCACAGAACUAAGAAAGCCCAGGCACAGUGGCUCACAUCAGUAAUUCUAGGGCCUUGGGAGGCAAGACAAGAGAAUCACUUGAGGCCAUGAGUUCAAGGGCAGCCUAGGCAACAUAGUGGGACCCUAUCUCCACAAAAAUAAUAAUAUUAUUAUUAUUAAAUAAAAUAAAAGGAAGAGA
ensembl:lncRNA novel transcript